rnacentral:rRNA from 1 species
GACGUAGGUGGCGAACGUUAUCCGGAAUUAUUGGGCGUAAAGGGUGCGUAGGUGCCUGACAAGUUAUUAGUGGUAAAUCGAGGCUCAACCUCGUGGAAACUGGUAAUACUGUCCGGCUCGAGUACAGGAGAGGUUAACGGAACUCUAUGUGGAGCGGUAAAAUGCACAGAUAUAUAGAAGAACAUCAAUAACGGCGAAGGCAGUUAACUAUUCUGUUACUGAACACUGAGGCACGAAAGCGUGGGGAGCAAAACGG